rnacentral:rRNA from 1 species
ACCACCCUUUGCCAUUCAGCCUAUAUACCGCCGUCUCCAGCUUACCUUGUGAAAGCCAAAAAGUAAGCGAAAUAGCUCCUACAGCUAGAAAGUCAGGUCCAGGUGUAGCCAAUAGGGUGGGUGCAAUGGGCUACAUUUUCUAAAAUAGAAAUAUUCACGGACAGACCCUUGAAAUAGGGACUAAUAAGUCGGAUUUAGCAGUAAUCUAGGAAUAGAAAGCCUAUAUUAAGCCG